UACCGGAUGGCGCAGUGGUUAGCACACCUGCCUAGUAAGUAGGAGAUCAUGGGUUCAAAUCCCAGUCUGGUAC
rnacentral:tRNA from 1 species